GACAGAGGGUGCAAACGUUGUUCGGAAUUACUGGGCGUAAAGCGCGUGUAGGCGGCCAUGCAAGUCGGAUGUGAAAGCCCUCGGCUCAACCGGGGAAGUGCACUCGAAACUGCAAGGCUAGAGUCUCGGAGAGGAUCGUGGAAUUCUCGGUGUAGAGGUGAAAUUCGUAGAUAUCGAGAGGAACACCGGUGGCGAAGGCGGCGAUCUGGACGAUGACUGACACUGAGGAGCGAAAGCGUGGGGAGCGAACAGG
rnacentral:rRNA from 1 species